rnacentral:rRNA from 1 species
AACGAACGCUGGCAGCAUGCCUAACACAUGCAAGUCGAACGAGACCUUCGGGUCUAGUGGCGCACGGGUGCGUAACGCGUGGGAACCUGCCCUUAGGUUCGGAAUAACUCCCCGAAAGGGGUGCUAAUACCGGAUAAUGUCUUCGGACCAAAGAUUUAUCGCCUUUGGAUGGGCCCGCGUUGGAUUAGCUAGUUGGUAGGGUAAAAGCCUACCAAGGCGACGAUCCAUAGCUGGUCUGAGAGGAUGAUCAGCCACACUGGGACUGAGACACGGCCCAGACUCCUACGGGAGGCAGCAGUGGGGAAUAUUGGACAAUGGGCGAAAGCCUGAUCCAGCAAUGCCGCGUGAGUGAUGAAGGCCUUAGGGUUGUAAAGCUCUUUUACCCGGGAUGAUAAUGACAGUACCGGGAGGAUAAGCUCCGGCUAACUCCGUG